rnacentral:rRNA from 1 species
AGAGUUUGAUCAUGGCUCAGAACGAACGCUGGCGGCAGGCCUAACACAUGCAAGUCGAACGUGAAGCCACCUUCGGGUGGUGGAAAGUGGCAGACGGGUGAGUAACGCGUGGGAACGUGCCUUUCGGUUCGGGAUAACCCAGGGAAACUUGGGCUAAUACCGGAUACGCCCUCCGGGGGAAAGAUUCAUUGCCGAAAGAUCGGCCCGCGUCGGAUUAGCUAGUUGGUGGGGUAAAAGCCUACCAAGGCGACGAUCCGUAGCUGGUCUGAGAGGAUGACCAGCCACACUGGGACUGAGACACGGCCCAGACUCCUACGGGAGGCAGCAGUGGGGAAUAUUGGACAAUGGGCGCAAGCCUGAUCCAGCCAUGCCGCGUGGGUGAAGAAGGCCCUAGGGUUGUAAACCCCUUUCAGCGGGGAAGAUAAUGACGGUACCCGCAGAAGAAGCCCCGGCUAACUCCGUGCCAGCAGCCGCGGUAAUACGGAGGGGGCUAGCGUUGUUCGGAAUUACUGGGCGUAAAGCGCGCGUAGGCGGACCUGCAAGUCGGGGGUGAAAGCCCGAGGCUCAACCUCGGAACUGCCUUCGAUACUGCGGGUCUCGAGUCCGGGAGAGGUGAGUGGAAUUCCUAGUGUAGAGGUGAAAUUCGUAGAUAUUAGGAAGAACACCAGUGGCGAAGGCGGCUCACUGGCCCGGUACUGACGCUGAGGCGCGAAAGCGUGGGGAGCAAACAGGAUUAGAUACCCUAGUAGUCCACGCCGUAAACUAUGGGUGCUAGCCGUCGGUCGGCAUGCCGGUCGGUGGCGCAGCCAACGCAUUAAGCACCCCGCCUGGGGAGUACGGUCGCAAGAUUAAAACUCAAAUGAAUUGACGG